UAGAAAACAGUGGUGGCGCUAUUGCACACCCUCACUUUUCUUACUCACCGCCAAUAAACACAACAAGAAGAAGAAGAAGAACAACAACAACAACUCUUACCAGACUGAAGCGUAUCCUCUUCCUCGCCCUCCUGUACGCAGGAUACUCCAGUUUCCUCAGCCCACUGGUUCCAGCACCAGUUAACAACCUCGUACAACUAAACUGCAAAGAUGUCGAAACACUGAGUUUCUUUCGACCAAGGCUAAGAAAACCACCUGCUUAGAGCUGCCUCUGAUCAGAAGCACUCCUCUUUUUUUCCUUGUACAAUGGCCCUAAUACGCCGUGGCCGGCUGUGGUCUUCACGGAUGGCGAACUGAGAGAUGAAAUGAAAAUCCAUCCAGCAUCAGCAGAGAAAGGGCACAGGAAGCGAGUAUUCAACCAGAGCGGUGACGACACUGCAGAGAAAUGUCAUAUUAAGAUGGAAGCAGCAGAGAAAGCAGAUGAUUUAUCUGAUGUCUGCUCAUUUUGCUCUCAGCAGCCUCUCUGAGAGGAUACCUUUAAUUACAUAGAGGCUGCUGCUUGACAGCGCUCCAUCAUGUUGUCACAGGAGGCAGAAGAAGAGCGGCGGUGUCGACGUGGGCGCGCGCUCGCAGGUGGAGCCGCCACUAAUCUCCACGUCAGUAAUGAAGUCUGAGGCUUAAGUGUGGGAAGAGUGCAGGCGUCAUCCAUUAGUCUCAUCCAUUUCCAUUAAUGUUCACGGAUUACUUAUUAUUCCCUGAUUAAUAAACACUCGGCAGGCUUGUCCUUAUAGCAGCCUCAAUAAGGACGGCUUCAUGAAUGAUUAGUUUUAAGGCUAUUAAUAUCCCAGACACUGGCAUUCAUAGCAUAGCUCACCCUAUGUUUUUGUUUUUUACAUUUUUUUAACAGAAGCGUCUUUGAGAGGGAGAGACAAAUUCAGGUUCAUUAGUUUCUGGCAUCAGUUUCCUCUUUCAAGAUAACAAUUUCAUAAACAAGUCUUAUUACCUUGGUAUUUGGGAAUCCUCCAGGAAAAAACAAGUAAUCCAAUUAGUGAACUGUGAGGCGCUAUUGAUUUGAGAAAAAAAAACAUUAGCCAAUCAAUUCUGGACGAGUAAUGAAAUUCCUUUACUUUGUGUUUCAAGCUAGUUGGCGUGUGUG